AUUGAACGCUGGCGGCAGGCCUAACACAUGCAAGUCGAAAGAGUCGCGGACGGGCGAGUAAUGUCUGGGAAACUGCCUGAUGAAGGGGGAUAACUACUGGAAACGGUAGCUAAUACCGCAUACCAUCGGAUGUGCCCGGAUGGGAUUGGAUAGUAGGUGGGGUAAAGGCUAACCUAGGCGACGAUCCCUAGCUGGUCUGAGCGGAUGACCAUCCAUACUGGAGCGGAGACAGGGUCGAGCCUCCGACGGGAGGCAGCAGUGGGGAAUCUUGCACAAGGGGCGCAAGCCUGCUGCAGCCCUGCCGCGUGUAUGAAGACGGCCUUCGGGUUGUAAAGUACUUUCAGCUGGGAGGCGUUACCCGCAGAAGAAGCACCGGCGAAGUCCGUGCCAGCAGCCGCGGUAAUAC
rnacentral:rRNA from 1 species